rnacentral:RNase_P_RNA from 1 species
CCGGGUGAUCGCGAGCAUGCGAAUGCUCGAGGAAAGUCCGGGCUCCACAGGGUAGGCUGCCAGGUAACGCCUGGGCGCGUGCGGCGUGAGCUUCGCGUGACGGACAGUGCAACAGAAAACAAACCGCCCCUGCGAGCGCUUCGGCGCAAACGGAGGUAAGGGUGAAACGGUGGGGUAAGAGCCCACCGCAUUGGCGGUAACGUCGAUGGCUUGGUAAACCCCAGUCGGAGCAAGGCCAAAUAAGCGGCGAGAGGCGUCCCGUCUCGCAAGGAUGUCGCAAGGCAUCGAGCCGCGGGUAGGCUGCUGGAGCGUUCGGGUGACUGAACGCCGAGAGGAAUGACCGUCCGGUGUAUGAAAGAUGAUUUCGUAUGCUGACAGAACCCGGCUUACAGGCUGGCGACCACC